rnacentral:rRNA from 1 species
UACGUAGGGUGCAAGCGUUGUCCGGAAUUACUGGGCGUAAAGAGCUCGUAGGUGGUUUGUCGCGUUGUUCGUGAAAACUCACAGCUCAACUGUGGGCGUGCGGGCGAUACGGGCAGACUUGAGUACUGCAGGGGAGACUGGAAUUCCUGGUGUAGCGGUGAAUGCGCAGAUAUCAGGAGGAACACCGGUGGCGAAGGCGGGUCUCUGGGCAGUGAAUCUGA